UACGAAGGGGGCUAGCGUUGCUCGGAAUCACUGGGCGUAAAGGGUGCGUAGGUGGCCGAGCAAGGUCGCGGUGAAAGCCCGGGGCUCAACCCCGGGUCGGCCGUGGCAACUACUCGGCUUGAGCACUGUAGGGGCGGGUGGAAUUCCGGGUGUAGCGGUGGAAUGCGCAGAUAUCAGGAGGAACACCAACGGCGAAGGCAGCUUGCUGGGACGGUACUGACGCUAAGGCGCGAAAGCGUGGGGAGCGAACAGG
rnacentral:rRNA from 1 species